GUACACUCCUGCGGGAGGCAGCAGUGGGGAAUUUUGGACAAUGGGCGAAAGCCUGAUCCAGCAAUGCCGCGUGAGUGAAGAAGGCCUUCGGGUUGUAAAGCUCUUUUGUCAGGGAAGAAACGGUGAAAGCUAAUAUCUUUUGCUAAUGACGGUACCUGAAGAAUAAGCACCGGCUAACUACGUGCCAGCAGCCGCGGUAAUACGUAGGGUGCAAGCGUUAAUCGGAAUUACUGGGCGUAAAGCGUGCGCAGGCGGUUUUGUAAGUCUGAUGUGAAAUCCCCGGGCUCAACCUGGGAAUUGCAUUGGAGACUGCAAGGCUAGAAUCUGGCAGAGGGGGGUAGAAUUCCACGUGUAGCAGUGAAAUGCGUAGAUAUGUGGAGGAACACCGAUGGCGAAGGCAGCCCCCUGGGUCAAGAUUGACGCUCAUGCACGAAAGCGUGGGGAGCAAACAGGAUUAGAAACCCUGGUAGUCCCAU
rnacentral:rRNA from 1 species